rnacentral:rRNA from 1 species
UACGUAGGGUGCGAGCGUUGUCCGGAAUUACUGGGCGUAAAGAGCUCGUAGGUGGUUUGUCGCGUUGUCCGUGAAAACUCACAGCUCAACUGUGGGCGUGCGGGCGAUACGGGCAGACUGGAGUACUGCAGGGGAGACUGGAAUUCCUGGUGUAGCGGUGGAAUGCGCAGAUAUCGGGAGGAACACCGGUGGCGAAGGCGGUUCUCUGGGCCUGUACUGACGCUGAGGAGCGAAAGCGUGGGGAGCGAACAGG